GACAUAAAACUUGAUUUUUUUUUUAGUUUCAUUUUAUUUAUUCAUUUUAGGUGGACACAUUAUUUUGUUUUUAUGUGGUGCUGAGGAUUGAACCUAGUGCCUCAUGCAUGCUGGGCGAGCACUCUACCACUGAACCACAACCCCGGCACCCUAAAACUUGAUUUUAUGCCUGAGACUGUACACCAGUGGGGUUGCAUCUGGGUUGAAAACCAGAAAUUGAACUGGAAGAUUCAUGUGUAUAAUUUCAUCCCUAAAUAGGUGCUUCUGUUCUUUUGUCUGUUUUAAUGUCGUAUGAAUGGAAAGGCUGAUAAUUUGUGUUAUUGCUUUACCUUGGGAAAAUUUAUAUAUUGUAUUUUAUUUAGAAUACCAACAAAGAAAAAACUAUUUUGGGGUCUGUCCUUCCUUCCUUUCUUUCUCUUUUCAGUACUAGGAAUUGAACCCAGGGCUUCAUGCAUGUAAGACUCUACCACUGAGCAAUACUUCCAGCUGUUUUAUUUUGAGACAGGAUUUCACUAAAUUGCCCAGAAUGACCUCACACUUGGAAUCCUCCUGCCUUAGCUUCCUGAGUAGUUAAGGUUACAGGUGUAUACCACUGAACCCAGCUCAAAACUCUAAAAGAAUAGUAUGAUUCUUACAUGCCUUUUUAAUUUAUGGUGAAUAUAUUGAUU
rnacentral:lncRNA from 1 species